UAUACGCUUAUCGUAAGACCUGGUAUUUCUACUUCUAUUCAUUUACCAAAGAGCAAUGAAAACGCAAGUCCACACAAAAAAACCUCAUAUAUCAGUGUUCAUAGUAACUAAAAUGAGGGAAAAAAUCAUGUCCUUAAGCAGAUGAAUGCAAAACAAAUUUUAGUCUAUUUAUAUCAGGGAAUACUCUCAGCAAUGAAAAAGCAGUGUAUUAGAGAUACCCAUGACACAUUGUUGAGUCUCAAAUAUAUUAUCCUCAGUUAAAAAAAAAAUCCAGAUCCCAAAUAAUACAUGCUGUAGCAUUUAAUUCAUCUGGAUUACUGAUACGGGAAUUCUGACUACAAUUGACACACUUCUUAGUGUAGUUGAAGGUCAUAAAGAGAUAACCCAACAGCUUGAGGGAAUCUGCUUACAGGUCAUUGGUACUGUCUCACAACAGCAUAUCUUAGAAUUCUAUGAGGAGAUCUUCUCUUUAGCACAUAGCUUGAUAUGUCAACAAGUGUCUCCACAGAUGUGGCAGCUACUACCCCUUAUAUUUGAAGUCUUUCAGCAGGAUGGCUUUAAUUACAAAUAUGAGUCCUCUCCUUCAUAGUUAUGUAACAGUUGUUACACUUCUGUCUGAUACCAAGUAUCUUGAAAUGAUAUACAGUAUGUGCAAAAAGGAUUCUUUCAGGAGUUGCAGGAGAAGAUGCAGAGUGUCAUGCAGUGAAAUUGUUGGAGGUCAUUCUGUAGCACAAAGGGUGGGGCAUUGACCAGUGCAUUCCGUUGUUUGUGGAAGCAGCCUUAGAAAGACUGACAGGAGAGGUUAAGAUAAGUGAACUUUGACUAUGUGUAUGCAAGUUGCAAUUGCAGCCUUGUAUUAUAAUCCACACCUACUACUCAAUGCCUUAGAAAAUCUUCACUUCACUAAUAAUGUUGAACCAGUUACAAAUCAUUUUAUUACACGGUGGCUUAAUGAUGUUGACUGUUUCUUGGGGCUUCAUGACAGAAGAAAGAUGUGUGUUCUUGGAUUCUGUGCUCUUGUUAAGAUGGAACAGAUACCCUAAGGUUUAAACCAGGUUCCUGGACAGAUUGUGCCAGCUUUUAUCCUUUUAUUUAAUGGAUUAAAAAGAGCAUAUGCCUGCCAUGCAGAACAUGAGAAUGACAGUGAUGAUGAUGAUGAAGCUGAAGAUAAGGAUGAAACCAAGGAAGUGUGGGGAAUGAUGAAGAUGAUAUCGAUGAAGAUGGGCAAGAAUAUUUGGAGAUCUUAGCUAAGGAGGCAGGCAAAGAUGGAGAUGAUGAAGAUUGGGAAGAAGAUGCUGAAGAGACUGCUAUGGAAGGCUAUUCCACAAUCAUUGAUGAUGAAGAUAACCCUGUUGAUGAGUAUCAGACAUUUAAAGCUAUCUUUCAAACUAUUCAAAAUUGUAAUUCUAUGUGGUAUCAGGCUCUGACUCAUGGUCUUAAUGAAUUCAGAACAAAGAAAACAGUGACAGGACAAAGCAACUCUGGCUGAUCAAGGAAGAGCAGCCCAUGGAUCCAAAAUGAUGGAGAAGCAUGGGGGAUACGAAUUCAGUGCUCCAGUUGUGCCAAGUUCUUUAAAUUUUGGAGGCCCAGCACCAGGGAUGAAUCCAGUUACCUCUUUCUUUCCUGCUGUGUGAUUGUAGUGAAGAGCUUGUGUUCCUUCUAGUAGUGCUUCCAGAACUAUGUUAUCUGUUCUAAACUCAUGAUCAAUAGAUGAACAAAAAACCCAUCAAUCCCAGGAGAUGGGACCUGAUCAUGCAACCGGGCAAUGGAAAAGAAACCAGCAGGAUUUUUGGGAUGGGGGGAUGGAGGGAGCUUAGGGGGUGAAUUUUCUUUAUUUUUUGAAGAAAGUAAGAUCUUAACUCUGAAGCUUCAAAGUGACCCUGUGGAAAUCUGAAACGAGGGGAUGUCAUGAAGGCAGAUUUUCUUUUUCUGAGGAAAAAAAUAGGCAUGGGCUACAGGACUAUUUAAAAUGUCUCAUUUACGGUAUAAAGCUCAAAGGUAGAUGUAAGUUUUACACCUAUGAGUAUUUGUCCAGUUUCUGUCUGUUCCUUACCAUUGGGUAUUCUUUAUAUGUAAAUAUGAUGAGAUAAUCUGAUAGCCUUAUUCAAUCUUCAUCAUUUUCAUUCAUCAUUGUUCCUACGUAGACUAUUGGACAUUUAUUGUAGCACUACAUAACCAAUUAUAAAAAUCUGUAAAUGAAUUAGCACUUUCAUAUUGAAACAAGCCUGCUAGCCUAUGUAUAAAAUAGCACAAUGUUUGCUGUUUAUAAAAAGAUGUAAUAGGGUUGGGGGCAAGGGUAAUUUCAAGUUAUUAGUUUU